CUGAUGAAUAGCAACAUGCAAUAACUUUCCUCCACAGUUAGCUCACAUAAAAUGAGCCAAGUAUCUAGCCAAGUAAACAUGGCAAUAUAUUUAUUUAUUAUUUGGUUUCUAGCUACUAAGGCUGGCUGAUUAAUUAAUGCAAAUUUGUUCUGAGGAAAUUUUUUUUUUAGCAGCUUCAGGUGUUAAAAGUGACGGGGCAAUCGCGCAAAACUUUGCCAGGUGCAUAUUUAUAAAUUGAAGAAGUGAUUUAUUUAAGUUGGGAACUUUGACAUAAGGUAUGUUCUUACAAGCCGCAGAUAUUUUGCCUCGCCUUGGGCCUCACCUGCACAACCUUAGAUAGGAGAAAAGAGCGCUGAAGGGCUGGGACAUGAUCCAACAACAGAACACAGUUAUGCCACCGUGACAUCUAGUUAUUAUCGUUUUCAUUACAACUGUCAAAUUAUCCAAAUGUGUCAAGGCUGAAACGCUUCACGCUCAGAAAUGAUGGCCUCGGUUGAAAACUUUUAUUUUUUUAGUAAUAUCACGAUUGCAAGCUUGCCAACAAGCAGACACAAACAGGAAAUCGAAAGCCCGUCACCACGGCAACCAGAAACGCUGUGAUUUCGUUUUGAAAGGAAAAGACAAGCUAGCAAAGGUAAGCUGACACAAAAGAGUUCCUUACCUCAAGAAUCAGCAGCGACUCCAUCUCAGGCGUGUGAAAGCUCAACUCUUUCUCCGUGUGGAGUUUUGCUCUUCUUCUUUGCCCUGGAGAUCAACAGAUGGCACAGGUGGAGAUCAGUCACUCUGCUGGCCUCCCUGAUGAUGCUCGCCCGCUUCAUUCCAGACAUAUACGCGCACACACAUGGAUGAAGAGACAGAGCAGCAGAGGUCGCAGAGGGUCUUAAAGCAGCCCACGCUCUUCCUGCUAUUGUUUCAUCUCAGGGACCCUUCGCAAGGGCUAAUAUCCACUCGUCUGGCUGUUCUGUUACCAUGGCGAUAGAAGCCCAUUUUCAAACUCCCUAAACAAGAGGCAUUUAUUAACGGUACUGACACGGAAUGAGGUUACUAAGAGGUAGUCAAGCUGAAAAUUUUACACCUUCUAAGCAGUCAAAAAAACAAAACCCAAUUUCACUCUGCAUGUUAAAAAAAAAUGGUUGUCUAUUUUUCACAUCGUUUUGCAUUAACUGUACUGACAUCAAACUGGGUGACAAAGUCAAAUUGGACAAUUUUCUGCUGUUGGAAGUCCUUGAAAUAAAAGUCCUGUUUUUCCA